CACGUAGGGGGCGAGCGUUGUCCGGAUUUAUUGGGCGUAAAGAGCGUGUAGGCGGCUUUGCAAGUCCGUUGUGAAAACUCGAGGCUCAACCUCGAGACGCCGGUGGAAACUGCAAAGCUAGAGUCCGGAAGAGGAGAGUGGAAUUCCUGGUGUAGCGGUGAAAUGCGCAGAUAUCAGGAAGAACACCCGUGGCGAAGGCGGCUCUCUGGGACGGUACUGACGCUGAGACGCGAAAGCGUGGGGAGCGAACAGG
rnacentral:rRNA from 1 species